rnacentral:lncRNA from 1 species
UUUGUUUUGCCGAUAUGCAACCAAAAAAGAUGAAAUUGCUUAUAAUUGGAGAUUCAAUGGUUAAAUAUUUGGAUGAAUAUUUACCUGCGAAUCUUCUGAAUUAUGAAGUAGAUUUACAUUCUUUUCCUGGUGCAAUGAUAGAAAGGUUAAAUCCUUUUUGGACAAUCGAUACCAUUUGAUUUUGGUACAUGUUGGUACCAACAAUUCGAAUGACAAUGUUGAAGUUAUUCUUAAAAAGUACGAUUGCCUCUCUAGGGAUAUUAAACUUUGAACCCAAAUAUCAAUGUUAUCAUUUCAGAUAUCCUACCAUGUGAUGAAGAUUUUUUCACAACUUUAAAUCAGCGAGUAGCAGCUUUGAACCGUUUACAGGUAAUUAGUAGAAAAGUUGUAGAAAUUAAUUCUCAACUUGAAAAUUACUGCCAAAAUCGAGAAGCUUUUUUUUGUUUGCAGGUCGUCUCAUCAAUUUGGAGCUAGGUUAUUGGCUAGGGAUGGAUUACACCUAAACCGUCUGGGGAACAAGAAACUUGUGGCAGUUUUCCUGGAUAAUAUCAAGACUGUUUGACUUCAAAGCCAGUUUCUGCAAAGAGGAAUCAGAAAAUUUGUACUUAAUCCCAUUGACUGUGAAGGAUUUCCUCAGGAAUGAUUGGUGGGUCUGCACCAAUUUUCAUGGCCAAUGGGGUAGUAUGUAAGUACUGAAAAUUUUUCUGUUCAUAAUUAAUCUCAUAACAUAUCUGAUCAUUUUUAAUAUUUCAGGCUUAUGUUUGCAAAAUGAAUAGUGCAUUGUUUUCAGUGAUCUUGGCUGUUUCACAAUUGAAUUUAGUCUUCUUUAUUUUUCAGUAAACGAUUGGCAGGAAUCUGGUACGUAUUUAAAAGUCAAGAGCAAGCUCUGCCAGCAGAAUUUUCUGAAACUGAAACUAGUACUCAUAAAUUUUUAAUAUGAUUGAAUAAUAAUAUUUAUACUCUAUUCAAGGAAUUUUAUCUGAUAUGUCUUUAUUUUCAGAAAUAAAAGAUGAAUAAAAGCUAUGUAAAAUAAUUAUUAUGUAUUCUGAAUAAAGUCUGGGAAAAAA